GACGUAGGGCGCGAGCGUUGUCCGGAUUUAUUGGGCGUAAAGAGCUCGUAGGCGGUUUGUCGCGUCUGCCGUGAAAGUCCGGGGCUCAACUCCGGAUCUGCGGUGGGUACGGGCAGACUAGAGUGAUGUAGGGGAGACUGGAAUUCCUGGUGUAGCGGUGGAAUGCGCAGAUAUCAGGAGGAACACCAACGGCGAAGGCAGCUCGCUGGGACGGUACUGACACUGAGGCGCGAAAGCGUGGGGAGCGAACAGG
rnacentral:rRNA from 1 species